AUAGUACUCUCUCCGUCCGAAAAAGUUUGUCUCUCAAAUGGAUGUAUCUAGCAUCAAGUUAGUGUUAGAUACAUUCAUUUGAGGAACAAGUUUGGGACAAGCUUUUGCGGAUGAAGGGAGUAGCCU
rnacentral:pre_miRNA from 1 species